AGAGUUUGAUCAUGGCUCAGAACGUACGCUGGCGGCACGCCUAACACAUGCAAGUCGAACGAAGUAGCAAUACUUAGUGGCAGACGGGUGAGUAACAUGUAGGUAUCUGCCCUUUGGCCUGGAAUAACACGAGGAAACUUGUGCUAAUACCGGAUAGGUCUUUACGGAGAAAGCUUUAUGCACCAUUGGAUGAGCCUGCACUUGAUUAGUUUGUUGGUGGGGUAAUGGCCUACCAAGACUGUGAUCAAUAGCUGAUUUGAGAGGAUGAUCAGCCACAUUGGGACUGAGACACGGCCCAAACUCCUACGGGAGGCAGCAGUGGGGAAUCUUGCACAAUGGAGGAAACUCUGAUGCAGCGAUGCCGCGUGAGUGAAGAAGGCCUUUGGGUUGUAAAGCUCUUUCGUCGGGGAAGAAAAUGACUGUACCCGAAUAAGAAGGUCCGGCUAACUUCGUGCCAGCAGCCGCGGUAAUACGAAGGGACCUAGCGUAGUUCGGAAUUACUGGGCUUAAAGAGUUCGUAGGUGGUUGAAAAAGUUGGUGGUGAAAUCCCAGAGCUUAACUCUGGAACUGCCAUCAAAACUUUUCAGCUAGAGUAUGAUAGAGGAAAGCAGAAUUUCUAGUGUAGAGGUGAAAUUCGUAGAUAUUAGAAAGAAUACCAAUUGCGAAGGCAGCUUUCUGGAUCAUUACUGACACUGAGGAACGUAAGCAUGGGUAGCGAAGAGGAUUAGAUACCCUCGUAGUCCAUGCCGUAAACGAUGUGUGUUAGACGUUGGAAAUUUAUUUUCAGUGUCGCAGCGAAAGCGAUAAACACACCGCCUGGGGAGUACGACCGCAAGGUUAAAACUCAAAUGAAUUGACGGGGACCCGCACAAGUAGUGGAGCAUGUGGUUUAAUUCGAAGAUACGCGCAGAACCUUACCAACACUUGACAUGUUCGUCGCGACUUUAAGAGAUUAAAGUUUUCGGUUCGGCCGGACGAAACACAGGUGCUGCAUGGCUGUCGUCAGCUCGUGUCGUGAGAUGUUGGGUUAAGUCCCGCAACGAGCGCAACCCUCACUUUUAGUUGCCAUCAUUUAGUUGGGCACUCUGAAAGAACUGCCAGUGAUAAGCUGGAGGAAGGUGGGGAUGACGUCAAGUCCUCAUGGCCCUUACGUGUUGGGCUACACACGUGCUACAAUGGUAUCUACAACAGGAAGCAAAACUGCGAAGUUAAGCAAAUCCUUAAAAGAUACCUCAGUUCGGAUUGCACUCUGCAACUCGAGUGCAUGAAGCUGGAAUUACUAGUAAUCGUGGAUCAGCGUGCCACGGUGAAUGCGUUCCCGGGUCUUGUAGA
rnacentral:rRNA from 1 species